GAGGAAAGCUGGCGGCGUGCCUAAUACAUGCAAGUCGAGCGAACAGACGAGGAGCUUGCUCCUCUGACGUUAGCGGCGGACGGGUGAAUAACACGUGGAUAACCUACCUAUAAGACUGGGAUAACUUCGGGAAACCGGAGCUAAUACCGGAUAAUAUAUUGAACCGCAUGGUUCAAUAGUGAAAGACGGUUUUGCUGUCACUUAUAGAUGGAUCCGCGCCGCAUUAGCUGGUUGGUAAGGUAACGGCUUACCAAGGCAACGAUGCGUAGCCGACCUGAGAGGGUGAUCGGCCACACUGGAACUGAGACACGGUCCAGACUCCUACGGGAGGCAGCAGUAGGGAAUCUUCCGCAAUGGGCGAAAGCCUGACGGAGCAACGCCGCGUGAGUGAUGAAGGUCUUCGGAUCGUAAAACUCUGUUAUUAGGGAAGAACAAAUGUGUAAGUAACUAUGCACGUCUUGACGGUACCUAAUCAGAAAGCCACGGCUAACUACGUG
rnacentral:rRNA from 1 species